CAAUAGCAUAUAUUAACGUUGUUGCAGUUGAAAAGCUCGUAGUUGAACUUUUGGUAGGAGCGACCUGGCCUUGGGCGCAUGCCCUUGUUUGCCGUGUGUCGUAUCUGGCCAUCCUUUUCUUCUUUUUGGAAGGAAUCUUUUACUGUGAGUAAACUGGAGUGCUCAAAACAAGACGUUUGUUUGGUACAUUAAAGCAUGGAAUAAUAAGAUAGGACCUGGUUACUAUUUAGUUGGUUUGCAUAGCUAGGUAAUGAUUAACAGGGACAGUUGGGGGUAUUCGUAUUUAAUUGUCAGAGGUGAAAUUCUUGGAUUUAUGAAAGACGAACGACUGCGAAAGCAUUUACCAAGGAUGUUUUCAUUA
rnacentral:rRNA from 1 species